CAAGAUUUGGGACUCCACUUUCUGAUACUUUGAGGAUCUUUGCAAUUUAGUCAUGAAGUGAGACCGAGUAUUCCUAAUUUAUUUGUGGAAGGAAAAUGCACAUCCCAGUGUAUAGAAAAUUUGGAUCCUCUCUUUUUAUGGUACAGAAGCAAAGGAGCUGCUGGAUUUUGUCUCUGAUGUCUUAGAUGGACACUAGCAACAUGAAUCUCUGACAUUUUCCUCUUCAUGUAAAAUAUGGAUGUCAGGUUCCGUGAUGCAAAGUAGCAAAACACAAAGUGCAGAAGCUAUACCAAUCUCAUUGGGAUUCCUGAAGGAAUUUUACUCGUCCUAGCAAGUACACUUUAAACUGAUUAUGUAGCUGUCAAUUACUUUGCUGUUCUGUGUACUGAGUUUACUUGAACUGUAUUCUUUAUUACAACUAAAAUAAACCACUGCACUGAAUUGUUUUUUCUCUGCUAAAUAAAUGAAUAUUGAAUAUGCAUAAGUAAUCUUAAGUACCGGAUCUUUUUGCUCAGUUUUGUCAGUGACAUGUCUGGUAAAUGUCCACAGUUCAAAGUUGACAACAAUGGUACACCUAUAAAUCUUUGAGGAGUGAGGAUUGUGACUUUGUAUAAGCCUGGCUUUAUGAAUUAUGGGAUGCAAUACUCAUUGUGUAUACAUUACAUUUCUUCAUGACAAUACCAGUAGAAGAUGCUGGUUGAAGAAAAAAGUUUAUGAAGAAGAUGAUUUAAAUAAAUAUCACAAUAGUUCCAAGUCUUGUUUAUUUAGCAAAAGUUUUGAAUACAUUGGAAAUAUCAAAACUACUCUUUUCCUUCCUUAUCUAAUUAGACAGCAAGUAU